rnacentral:rRNA from 1 species
UACGUAGGCAGCGAGCGUUGUUCGGAGUUACUGGGCGUAAAGGGUGUGUAGGCGGUUGUUUAAGUUUGGUGUGAAAUCUCCCGGCUCAACUGGGAGGGUGCGCCGAAUACUGAAUGACUAGAGUGUGGGAGAGGUGAGUGGAAUUCCUGGUGUAGCGGUGAAAUGCGUAGAUAUCAGGAGGAACACCGGUGGUGUAGACGGCUCUCUGGACCGAUACUGGCGCUGAGGCGCGAAAGCGUGGGGAGCAAACAGG